CUCCAAAAUAAGAAAGAACUGCUACUCACAGAGGGAAACUAGCAUGGAUUUUACUUUCUGGAACCAUGAUAUGCCUGAAGCAGCAACACAGUGGCAAUUCCAGAGGGGUAGGAGCUCUGCUACCAUGCAAUGACACUGUAAUUACAAAAUAAGGGAAAAUUAGAAGUAGUACAAGUGUGCAGAACUAGCUCUGGUUGUGAGUUGUCAAAGAAAGCAAUGUAGCUGAUCUCAAAGGAACAUGGAAAGGCAAUGACACAAAGACAACUUUGUAGCAGACUGCUGCACCUGUUGCUUGCUUGCCACCUUAGAAGUCAGAGACCUCACACUGGGACCAAUUAAAACAGAACAAGUUAAUAACUUACAGAUCUCAAGAGAACACAGCACCUUAGAAUGCUUGAUUUAAGUUGCAAAUGAGGCUUUUUGACAUCUCACAGCCAGGACAUGCACAGCCCCAUCGCAGAAUGCUACAGUCACUUACAGCAAGAUGGCUUCAAGGAGCUCAGGCUGACCAGAGGCAUUAGAAACAAAAUGGUGGUCACUGACUGAAGAAGGCAUCUGGAAAACGUGCCAGCGAGCUGCAGCUGAGGAGAAGGAGCAGAGCACAGCUGCCUCUGCCAGCGCCUGGGCGGCAGAAAGGGAGACAGAGCUUUUCCCGCCUUGCGGCUGCAGCCUCACGUGCGCCCCUCAGGAGGAGUCGGGCUUUCCCUCAGAGCGACUGAACACGUGCAGGGCCUGAGAAGGCGGGUGUGCCCUCACAACGCCCGGUUAGCUGAACUUCUGUCAGAAAGCCCCCUAGUGCACCACUUAGAGUUAUUCUUGGGAAGAAUGGGAAGCAGACAUUAACAUCUUGUACCUCUGAGAAUAACUCAGUUUUACUGAGGUGGUAAAUGUGACGCAGUCCCACAGUGUGCCUCUGCCCCCCCGCACUGCAAUGCUGACAGCUCAGCCGCAGCUGCUGUUGGUUACAUCCCAAAGCCCUGAGGUGAAAACACUCCUCUUACCAAACACGCUGCCCUGCUCAUCACUAAGAACUUCUGGAGGAUGGGGAAUGUUACAGCAGAUGUUUUAAAUGAUGCUAAAAUCUGAGUUACAUGAACUAAGAUUGCAGUACUAUCAGAACGUUGUUUUGUUUUCUUAAAUUUGUUUUUUCAUCCCUAAAAGGGGCCUUAGAAUAGUUUAUGAUCAAUAGUGGUUUUAGAUCCCACCAUUUCAUAU
ensembl:lncRNA